rnacentral:rRNA from 1 species
GACGAAUGCUGGUGGCGUGCCUAAUACAUGCAAGUAGAAUGCAGUUGCGAACGGGUGAGUAAUGCGUAGGUAACUGCCUCAUAGCGGGGGAUAACUAUUGGAAACGAUAGCUAAUACUGCAUACUGUGAGAUGGACCUGCGUUGUAUUAGUCAGUUGGUGAGGUAAAGGCUCACUAAGGCGACGAUACAUAGCCGACCUGAGAGGGUGGUCGGCACCACUGAGACGGGGACACGGCCCGGACUCCUACGGGAGGCAGCAGUAGGAAAUCUUCAGCAAUGGACGGAAGUCUGACCAAGCAACGCCGCGUGAGUGAAGAAGGUUUUCGAUUCGUAAGGCUCUGUUGUUAGAGAAACAGUAACUAACCAGAAAGGGACGGCUAACUACGUGCCAGCGGCCGCGGUAGUUC